UAGGGAAUAUUGGUCAAUGGGCGAAAGCCUGAACCAGCCAUACCGCGUGUGCGAAGAAGGCCUUCGGGUCGUAAAGCACUGUCAGAGGGAAAGAUUAUGACGGUACCCUCAAAGGAAGCCACGGCUAACUACGUGCCAGCAGCCGCGGUAAUACGUAGGUGGCGAGCGUUAUCCGGAAUCACUGGGCGUAAAGCGUUCGUAGGCGGCAAGGUAAGCCAGAUUUGAAAGACCGGGGCUCAACUCCGGGACCGGAUCUGGAACUACCCUGCUUGAGCAGAUCAGAGGGCAGUGGAAUUCCCGGUGUAGCGGUAAUAUGCGUAGAUAUCGGGAGGAACACCAGUGGCGAAGGCGACUGCCUGGGGUCUUGCUGACGCUGAGGAACGAAAGCUAGGGGAGCGAACG
rnacentral:rRNA from 1 species